rnacentral:rRNA from 1 species
AUUGAACGCUGGCGGCAGGCCUAACACAUGCAAGUCGAACGUGUGGCGGACGGGUGUGUAACGUCUGGGAAACUGCCCGAUGGAGGGGGAUAACUACUGGAACCGGUAGUUAAUACCGCAUACCAUCAGAUGUGCCCAGAUGGGAUUAGCUAGUGGGUGGGGUAACGGCUCACAAAGACGACGAUCCCUAGCUGGUCUGAGAGGAUGACCAGCAACACGGGAACGGGGAAACGGUCCGGAUGCCAGCGGGAGGCGGCGGAGGGGAAUAUUGCACAAUGGGCGCAAGCCUGAUGCAGCCAUGCCGCGUGGAUGAAGAAGGUCUUCGGGUGGUAAAGUACUUUCUGCGGGGAGGCGUUACCCGCAGAAGAAGCACCGGCUAACUCCGUGCCAGCAGCCGCGGUAAUAC